GUCAAUACCCUUACUUUUAUCCAGUGUCUGCUUCAUUUAAACUUAAUCAACUCCAUCAACGAACUGGAACAGGGAAACGUCCCUGCGGCUUCUAAUGUGAGGAAAAACACGGAAUGACAAGUGUGGGAAAGAGCAAGCACUAAAUUACUGUCAGAAAAAUAAACGGAGUAGCACAGUGGUGCUCAGUGAUUUACGGGGGCAAUUAGUCACCACCCCAUGGCGCUGCUGAGGACAGCACGGCAGCAGACGCGUCAGGCCUGAGAGGAAGAAGAGGCUUUGCACUGCUUUCCAGACAACUUUUCAAACAAGAGAGGAUAUUUGAGCACAUUAGGUUCCAUGUCUUCAUUCUGGGUGCCCACCCCUUCACAUUAUUCAACCAACCUAAUACAUAAACGUAUUUUUAACACAAUAUUAACCUGUUCUGUGUGUGUUGAAAAGACUCCAACUGCAACUUUUUUCUCUCCCACUGUCCAGAGUAGGUUUUUCCCACCUCUUAAAUGAAACAAACCUUUCCCCACUCCCAAAUUGUCCCCCUGAUGUGUGCCUUUGGUCUGUCUCAUUACUUCUUGCAUCUUGCUAUCAUGUUCUGUAUUUGCUUAGAGCCACAGGGUGCUAAGGAGUUUGGUCUCUAGCUCUUCUGAGGAAGUUUGAUGAGCUGGUACAAAGAGGUGAUGAAUGAGGCUGUAAAACCCAGAGUAAAUGAGAAAAAUACAUAAACUUCCUGAUAUUUGUUGGCCUGUUUUUAACAUACUGUAUACAGUGCCUAUGUAUAUACACAUAGCAAAAUAAAUCUGCUAAGAUAUAA